GAUGAACGCUGGCGGCGUGCCUAAUACAUGCAAGUCGAGCGAACAGACGAGGAGCUUGCUCCUUCGACGUUAGCGGCGGACGGGUGAGUAACACGUAGGUAACCUACCUAUAAGACUGGGAUAACUUCGGGAAACCGGAGCUAAUACCGGAUAAUAUUUCGAACCGCAUGGUUCGAUAGUUAAAGAUUGCUUUGCUAUCACUUAUAGAUGUACCUGCGCCGUAUUAGCUAGUUGGUAAGGUAACGGCUUACCAAGGCAACGAUACGUAGCCGACCUGAGAGGGUGAUAGGCCACACUGGAACUGAGACACGGUCCAGACUCCGACGGGAGGCAGCAGUAGGGAAUCUUCCGCAAUGGGCGAAAGGCUGACGGAGCAACGCGGCGUGAGUGAUGAAGGUCUUCGGAUCGUAAAACUCUGUUCUUAGGGAAGAAGAAACGUGUAAGUAACUGUGCACGUAUUGACGGUACCUAAUCAGAAAGCCACGGCUAACUACGUG
rnacentral:rRNA from 1 species